rnacentral:rRNA from 1 species
AUUGAACGCUGGCGGCAGGCUUAACACAUGCAAGUCGAGCGGGGUGAUGGUGCUUGCACUAUCACUUAGCGGCGGACGGGUGAGUAAUGCUUAGGAAUCUGCCUAUUAGUGGGGGACAACAUCUCGAAAGGGAUGCUAAUACCGCAUACGUCCUACGGGAGAAAGCAGGGGAUCACUUUUGACCUUGCGCUAAUAGAUGAGCCUAAGUCGGAUUAGCUAGUUGGGGGGGUAAAGGCCUACCAAGGCGACGAUCUGUAGCGGGUCUGAGAGGAUGAUCCGCCACACUGGGACUGAGACACGGCCCAGACUCCUACGGGAGGCAGCAGUGGGGAAUAUUGGACAAUGGGGGGAACCCUGAUCCAGCCAUGCCGCGUGUGUGAAGAAGGCCUUAUGGUUGUAAAGCACUUUAAGCGAGGAGGAGGCUCUUUUGGUUAAUACCCAAGAUGAGUGGACGUUACUCGCAGAAUAAGCACCGGCUAACUCUGUGCCAGCAGCCGCCGUAA